GGCUGGACAACUGGCAAGGGGAGCCGAGCACACCUGCUAGGUCUGAGGGAGGAAGGGUGGGUGUGGGGGAGGACCGUGGUGUGGACAGAAGGUACAGAUUUCCGGCUUCCUGUAGAACUGUACAAGGGGGAGCUUUCGGGGAAGCAAACCGACUAGAGGAAGAAAAUUCGGGAUGCUUUUAUUUCCCUCCAGAUGAAACAGAUGGAAAAAAAAAACCCACCUCUAGGGUAACACAUGAUAGAAACCAGCAACACAGUAAGAAAGCAUUCCUCCUGUACACCGGUUCUUCAACAGAUAAAUAAUAUAUAAACUUUAUAUUCCAAACUUCCCAUUAUCAUACAAAGCACAUUUCUUCCUGCUCUUUUAGCCUGUUUCAUACUGGAAAUUCUGUUGUCUUAAAAAUACAAGCCAUUAACAUGUUUAGCCAAAGAUUCUUUUCUUCUUUUUACAUCACCCCUGACUUUUUAAGAAUAGCGAGGGGUUGUACAACCAAUCCACACCUGCUUCUUGCUGCAAUAAAGUGCUGCACAUAAGUUGCCAUUUUAAUGACCACAAAAUAAGAGCUUUAAAUAAGUAUAAAGUUAGCCUCCUAGCAGGUUAUAUCUACCAGGCGUUAACAAAAUGGAAUACAGAAUUACUAAUAACAUGGAGAACACCGCUAUAGCCAGACAAUUUGCAAACACAAUGGAAACGUCUCAGGGGCAUAAACUGAACGGUAGGACUGAACAGCACCUUUUUGUUGGGUUGUUAUAUGUCAAAGAGGUUAUGACAAAAGUUUCAAACAUACAGUCUACUCAUUCCAUAAAAAAAGGUACAUUUUCUUCCUUUUAUGUUACUUUUUUUUGCAGAUGAGAAACAAAAGCUAGUGCAAGACCAAAGCACUGUGCAAAACUGCCAUUUCUUUUUUUUUUUUUUUUAGUCUGAGCGUUUAUACCCAGAAUUUAUCCAAACCCCUUUUAAUCUCCUCGGCUGGAUUUAUCAACCAUAAAAAUUUUCACUCAUACAUUGUUUUUCCUUUUCCUGCAAACAAAUGGUAACCACUGACUUAAUA
rnacentral:lncRNA from 1 species